ensembl:rRNA 5S_rRNA 5S ribosomal RNA
ACAUGUGGCUAUACCUCUUUGAAAGUGUCUGACCUCACUUCAUCUCAGAAGCUAAGAAGGGUCAGGCUGAGAUAACAUGUGGAUAGGAGAUUGCCUAGGAAUGUUUGCUACUACAUCUG